rnacentral:rRNA from 1 species
AUUGAACGCUGGCGGCAUGCCUUACACAUGCAAGUCGAACGGUAACAGGUCUUCGGAUGCUGACGAGUGGCGAACGGGUGAGUAAUACAUCGGAACGUGCCUAGUAGCGGGGGAUAACUACUCGAAAGAGUGGCUAAUACCGCAUGAGAUCUACGGAUGAAAGCAGGGGAUCGCAAGACCUUGUGCUACUAGAGCGGCCGAUGGCAGAUUAGGUAGUUGGUGGGAUAAAAGCUUACCAAGCCGACGAUCUGUAGCUGGUCUGAGAGGACGAUCAGCCACACUGGGACCGAGAGACGGCCCAGACUCCUACGGGAGGCAGCAGUGGGGAAUUUUGGACAAUGGGCGCAAGCCUGAUCCAGCAAUGCCGCGUGCAGGAUGAAGGCCUUCGGGUUGUAAACUGCUUUUGUACGGAACGAAAAGCCCUGGGUUAAUACCCUGGGGUCAUGACGGUACCGUAAGAAUAAGCACCGGCUAACUACGUGCCAGCCGCCGCAGUAACAC